AUCAACGCUGGCGGCGUGCCUAACACAUGCAAGUCGAACGCGAAAGUGGAGCAAUCCAUGAGUAGAGUGGCAAACGGGUGAGUAACGCGUGGGCGACCUACCUUCGAGCGGGGGAUAACAUUCCGAAAGGAGUGCUAAUACCGCAUGACGUCCCGUGUUCGGAUACACGGAGAUCAAAGCCGGGGAUCGCAAGACCUGGCACUUGAAGAGGGGCCCGCGUCCGAUUAGCUAGUUGGCGAGGUAAUGGCUCACCAAGGCUCCAAUCGGUAUCCGGCCUGAGAGGGCGGACGGACACACUGGAACUGAGACACGGUCCAGACUCCUACGGGAGGCAGCAGUGGGGAAUUGUUCACAAUGGGCGCAAGCCUGACUGACGCAACGCCGCGUGGAGGAUGAAGAUCUUCGGGUCGUAAACUCCUUUCGAUCGAGACUGAAUCCGCGUACCGGUAACAGUCCGGGAGAGGUGACGUACCGAGAGAAGAAGCCCCGGCUAACUCCGUGCCAGCAGCCGCGGUAAUACAGGGGGGGCAAGCGUUGUUCGGAAUUACUGGGCGUAAAGGGCUCGUAGGUGGCCUAGCUAAGUCAGACGUGAAAUCCCUCAGCUUAACCUGGGGAACUGCGUCUGAUACUGGGAUGCUUGAGUUGCAGGAGAGGGAACGCGGAAUUCCAGGUGUAGCGGUGAAAUGCGUAGAUAUCUGGAGGAACACCGGUGGCGAAGGCGGCAGUCCUGGACCGUAAUUGACGCUGAUGCACGAAAGCCUAGGGGAGCAAACAGGAUUAGAUACCCCUGGUAGUCCUAGGCCCUAAACGAUGAAUGCUUGGUGUGGCGGGUAUCCAAUCCCUGCCGUGCCGAAGCUAACGCGUUAAGCAGUCCGCCUGGGGAGUACGGUCGCAAGGCUGAAACUCAAAGGAAUUGACGGGGGCCCGCACAAGCGGUGGAGCAUGUGGUUUAAUUCGAACGCAACGCGAAGAACCUUACCCAGGGCUCGAGACUGUAGCAGGACAUCCGGUACGGAAAGUAGGCGUCCCGCAAGGGCAGCUGUCUAAGGUGCUGCAUGGCUGUCGUCAGCUCGUGUCGUGAGAUGUUGGGUUAAGUCCCGCAACGAGCGCAACCCUUAUCUUCAUGUUGCUACAUUCGGUUGCCGGCACUCUGAAGAAACUGCCGGAUGACAACCGGGAGGAAGGUGGGGAUGACGUCAAGUCAUCAUGGACCUUUAUGUCUAGGGGCCUACACACGUGCUACAAUGGCCGGCUACAAACCGUCGCGAAUCUCGCAAGAGGGAGCUAAUCGGAGAAAACCGGUCUCAGUUCGGAUUGUAGGCUGCAACUCGCCUGCAUGAAGUUGGAAUCGCUAGUAAUCGCGGAUCAGCACGCCGCGGUGAAUACGUUCCCGGGCCUUGUACACACCGCCCGUCACAUCACGAAAGCUGGCUGUACUAGAAGUCGCCAAGCUAACCCGCAAGGGAGGCAGGCGCCUAAGGUAUGGUCAGUGAUUGGGGUG
rnacentral:rRNA from 1 species